rnacentral:lncRNA from 1 species
CAUACUUUAAGGUGGGAAGGAAAAUGAAUCAUCAGCUGUGAUGCAGAUCUCCUAUGGAACGACAGGAUUUGCCUCCAGUGCUGGAAUUGUGAUCACUCUCCUUAUUGGCUCCCAUUCCAUGCUCCAUUUGAAUGCAGACAGUUCUUCAAUCAGACAAGAAAAUUUUGAGGUGGUGGAAACAAAAGAACAGCAUCAGAGAUUGGAAGUUACCCUGAAAUAUUCAUGUAUUUCUGAAACAGAGUCUGUAUGUGCUAACCACCAGGAUCUGAAACUCAUCAAUCAAGCCCAAAUUUCUUCAGGAUCCAUAAGGGACCAACAGAUACUUACCACCACCUGCUGCAGAUGAGUCUCUAUAUGCUAAGCUAACCACCAGGAUCUCAAACUCAUCAAUCAAGCCACAGUUUCUCUCAGGAUCAUAAGGGGCCAAUAGAUGCACAUGACCACCUGCUGCAGAAGGUAUUGUAAAACAACCUCCAUUUUUUCACUUUCAACAUUA